rnacentral:tRNA from 1 species
GGGGAUAUAGCUCAGUGGUAGAGCAUUCGACUGCAGACCGAGAAAGCAGCAUGUGCUAGUAUGCGCGCCGGUGUUCUCA